rnacentral:rRNA from 1 species
CAGCAGCCGCGGGAAUACGUAGGGUGCAAGCGUUAAUCGGAAUUACUGGGCGUAAAGCGAGUGCAGACGGUUACUUAAGCCAGAUGUGAAAUCCCCAAGCUUAACUUGGGACGUGCAUUUGAAACUGGGUGACUAGAGUGUGUCAGAGGGAGGUAGAAUUCCACAUGUAGCGGUGGAAUGCGUAGAGAUGUGGAGGAAUACCGAUGGCGAAGGCAGCCUCCUGGGAUAACACUGACGUUGAGGCUCGAAAGCGUGAGGAGCAAACAGGAUUAGAGACCCCGGUAGUCCCUGUCUCUUAUAC